rnacentral:rRNA from 1 species
UACGAAGGGGGCUAGCGUUGCUCGGAAUCACUGGGCGUAAAGGGUGCGUAGGCGGGUCUUUAAGUCAGGGGUGAAAGCCCAGGGCUCAACCCUGGAAUAGCCUUCGAUACUGGACAUCUUGAGUACGGGAGAGGUGAGUGGAACUCCGAGUGUAGAGGUGAAAUUCGUAGAUAUUGGGAAGAACACCGGUGGCGAAGGCGGCUCACUGGCUCGUAUCUGACGCUCAGGCGCGACAGCGUGGGGAUCAAACAGG